UUAAUUCGGAUCUGGUGUCAAGUUAUCUACAAUCGGACAUUAACAAAUUCCCAUCUGCCACAUAACCGCGGGCACGGCUCUCGAAAGUUUAUACCCUGCAGGGGUGUCCCAACUUAGCCCAUGACAAGCUCUCGCGAUCAUCGAAGGAAUAGACCUUCACCCGAGACACUCCGAUCAGACUCGGUAUCCCGGUACAUCAAGACAUUUCGACAAUGGUAAAACAAGACCAGCAAGACCUCCCGGCGUGCCGACAUCCUGAUAGUAGCCGCGCGUAUCUCGUCUCAGGCCACGACCGGAUGAACACUACGUACGGCAACCGACGAUACCCCAAGUUGCCUAGGGGCGGCACCACAAGUGGCUCUGGUUUGGACCAACACUUAGACAAGCAUUGGCCCGGGGGGGCUAAAAUAAAGAUGACCCUUGGGUUAAUUACUCCCAAGGGAAAAGUAGGUGGUGGUGAGGCAAAUGGUAAAAGUCAAUGUUGGGCCUUGCUGGACAAGUUUUAUUCAAAGCGAACUGUCAGGGGGGUCCCAUAAAUCACCCGACCGCGUAAGGAACGCAAAAUCCGAGAACAUAACACCGGUAUGACGGAAACUAGGGCGGCAAGAGUGGAACAAAACACCAGGCAUAAGGCCGAGCCUUCCACCCUUUACCAAGUAUAUAGAUGCAUUAAUAAUAUAAGAGAUAUUGUGAUAUCCCAACCAAAAUCCUGUCCACCAUGGAGAAAUCUUCAACUUCACCUGCAACUAGCAACACUAUAAGAGGGGCUGAGCAAAGUGGUAACAUAGCCAAACAACGGUUUGCUAGGAAUGGUGUCAAAGGUUAGAGGUUCAUGGCAAUAUGGGAUGGCUGACAAGCAAAUGAUAGGCAUCGUAGCAUUGGCAUAGCAAAAGAGCGAGCAAACUAGCAUAGCAAAGAUAGUAGUGAUUUCGAGGGUAUGGUCAUCUUGCCUGAAAUCCCGCAAGGAAGAAGAACGAGUCCAUGAAGAAGACAAACGGACAUCGAACGAAUCCUCACAACUCUGGAACGAAACCGAAGCUAACGAGAGAAGCAAACCGGAAAGAAACAAACAACAUGGUAAACACACAAGCAUAAACAUGUCAUGAUGCGCAAACAAAUAUGAUGCAUGUCCGGUUUAAUGAAGCAUGACAUGGCAAUAUGCACAAACAACACUACAAAUUAAGUGGAGCUCAAUAUGCAACGAGUUGCAUAUUGACGACACACCACAUCAAUUAUUUAGUUCCCUCUAGUUAUAAGCUACUCAACAACAUUAAAUAUUGGUUAACAUGGCAAGUGAUGAAGCAUAACAAAAACUAUACCAUCUAAACAAUUUUAAAUGGGGCCGGAUAUAAAAACAACAAAUCCGGUAAAUCCCCAUAUGCAUUUAGCAAUUUAAUGCAACAACAAGUUUAAUCAUUUUAAAUGUUGUUAUCAUGAUGGGGAUGACAUAAUCAAGGUUUAUGCAAUUUUUAUGAAAAUAUUGACAUGAGCAUGAAACGAGGCAUUAGUCGCCAUGGUGGAAGGAAAAAGGUGCCACGGCGGUGAAACGGAAAUGGUGCCAUGGCAACAUAUCCGAAAAUGAUGCCACGGCAACAUAUCCGAAAAUGAUGCCACGGCAACAUAUCCGAAAAUGAUGCCACGGCAACAUAUAGGUUAUCCGACAACUCAAGGAGAUAUCGGUGCAAAAGGAAGGCGUGCGGAUGCGUGCACGGAUGGUGGGGUGAUCCCGGAUUCCGGGUGUCCCACAUAAUGGUGGCAUGGAAACGAGUGACAAUUCGAACACGGUGCAACGGUGCAUCUCAUUCAACACAUGCAUUCGGGCCACGGCGGUCGUCUCGGGGUUAUACCUUUGAAGAGUGCGUUUUCGGAGCGGAACGAGUUCGAUGCGGUGUAGGUGGAAGUAGUGGUACACGGCGUCGGUAGAGGAAGUAGUCGUUCUCGGGUCGUCGUGGGAAGUAGUCGAACACGGCGUAGUGGAAGUCGUUGUUCACGUGGCGACGGUAGUUGUACACGGUCCAGGAGACGUCGAUCGUUCAGGGUCCGACUUGCGAGUCUUGUCGACAUGAGUGGUACUUGGCGAUGUUUCGAUGAAGCUCAAAUGAAGCACCCGCAACUAGAGGCAACUAGUGCCCCGGUGCCCUGGACGAUGGUCGAUGCACUAGGUUUUUGACGGACCCAUAGCAACGGUAGACGUACACGCAUACUUGGUGCAUCACUGGUCUUGGCAAUCUUGAAGAACUGAAAGGGCAUCGAGGGUCUUGCAAGGCUCUGCCUCGGGAGGUCACCGGGGACCGCUCGAGCUGCUGGAUGCUGGCGCAUGGCCGAGCAGCGGUUGGAAGAAGUGGGCGGCGUUAGCCUUGGCGCGCAGCAGGGAAGGCGGCUCCUGCUCGGAGAGGUACGGCGAGAGAAACCGCUUGUAGGCGCGAAGGAAGGCGGAGGAGCUUGGGCGCGGGACGGCGUCCUGGUGGCAUCGGCGCUCCUGCAGGCGUGGAGGACGACGACUGCAGGCGCGGAGCAGGGGAGCAGUAGAGGGACUAGGCGCGGGGAUGAACGGAUCCGGCUGAAGGCAUGGCCGACGGCGCGACUUGGAGCAGAUCGGGCGCGGGCGCUUGGGGCGCGGCGUAGCUAGAUGGCGCGGGCGACAGAGGAGGAGGCCACAGGUGGAGCCACUGGAGUUGGACAAGGAGGAGGCGGGAUGGCGCGGCAGCGGCCUGGUUCUGCGGGGGCUGGCGGCGGAUGCAGGCCACGAGGAGGAGGCGAAAGGGACGAUGAGGAGAAGCAGGAGGAGAUGGGAUCGAGAGAGAGGUCGGGCAGCGGUUCCCUGGCGGCGCUGGGUGGAAGGGAACGAGAGGGAGAGGGGGUGGAUCGGGACGAAGGGGUGGCGGCGCUGCACGGGGGGAGAUGGGGAUCGAUGGGAGAUGAGGGUCGGGCUAGCUAGGGUUUAGGUAGGCUGCGGGUCCAGAUGGGCCUGGGAGGUCCAAGAGGCCCAGGCUGUUGGGCUGCAGGGCUCUUUCCUUUAAGCAAUUUCUUCAAACAGAAAUGCAAGAAAAGGCCAAGGAGUUUGGCAAGGAAUUAGGAUGAGAUAAAAACAUAUGUGGGAUUCUGGAUUUAUGUAGAAUUUGAAUAAAUUGCUUUGGGAAUUUUUAGAGGUAUAAAAAUAAAACAAGUUUGAAUUAAAUUCAAACUUGAGCCAUUUUUGAACCCAACCAAAACAACUCCAAAAUGGAUGAUAUUUGACAGAGAGGUAUAAGGCAUGAAGUAAGAUCACCAGGAAAUAAAUGAACAUUAAUGGAGGCACAAAUAAUGCCACUUGGCAUGAAAGUCAAGAUUUGACAGAAAGGAAGAAGUGAUAAGGUUUGCACGUGGAGAAAGGUCUUGAUGAAAAGAUGAAGAUACAAAUGACCAUAGGAGGAGGGGAAGGGUGAUGCAAGGGGUGAUCAUGCAUGAAACACACAAUGCACAUGAUGAGCAUGAUGAAAUGCAACAUGAUGCAAGGAUGAAUGCAACGGACAAAACAAAUCACACGACAAAUCUCGGAAUAGCUGGACGUCUUCUGGAGCGUCGGUCUCGGGGCGUCACAACACUCCACCACUACAAGAGGAUCUCGUCCCGAGAUCUAGGAUGGCACCGGAGGGAAAACGGAAGAGGAAGAGAAGAGGUAAAACUAAGUUGCUUCUUUGACGAACGAGUGAAACCACGAACCUUGAGGGGUCGAACAAAAUGAAAGAAAGAAAACAAUGAAGAUGAACAAAGUUGAAAGCACUCUGUUAGAAGAGGAACAUGGGAUACGACGAGAACCAAGAGGUUUAGUGAUAAGAUAGAUAUUGAAACCACUCCGGUUAAAACUAGAUAGAGAAGGAGUAAGAAUGAUAUAAUUUGGGCAGCACUCCGACUGUAAAUGGAAGGAAUUGAACAUGAACUUGACAAGAUGAGAGGAUACUUGAUGAAAUCAACAACACACUGCAUCCGGAAUUAUUGAAAGAAUGGCAUAAAGGGUAAGAAGGAUUUCAGACAGCACUCUGGUUGAAAAGAGAGGCAAAACUUGAUAAAAUGAAAGAACUUGAAUGAGAACACAACACUCCGGUUGAAAGGAAAAGCAAGGAAAGAGCAUGAUCUUCACAAUUCGAGAUGAUGAGUGAAAAGAGCAACAUCACAAUUCCUCCGGAAGAAAGAAUAGAAGAUAGAUCAUUGGAAUAACAGAAUGGAGAAGAAAAUGCCAACUUCUACCACCAUUGAAUUUGGAAAACAUCUUUGCAAAGAAGAAUCGAACGGAGUUGUUGGAAAAUCAACAACAAAAAGAAUAAGCUUGUAGUGGGCUUAUGGCAAACAUCUCAAAAUGAUGAGGUGACAACCGGCCACUAAUGGAAACAAUUGAUUGGUUGAGAUCAAUGAAGAUAAGAGAAACUUCUUCCACCAAGUGAAUAGAGAGCAAGCUUGGGUCAUGCAUAAUCACCACAAAUAGCAACAACCCUUAAGGAAAGGAUUUAGGUGAAAUAUGACACAAAAUAACUCCAAUGAAGAGACUGAUGGAUUUAAAAUACCUCAUUCUUGACAACAAUAUGAAUCAUGAAACAUGAAGGAAAUUGUCAAGAAUGACAUAAGACCACGUCGAAAGAUAAGGUAGAAAGAAUUGCACUUCGAAAUGCAAGAAGAAGAAUACUUGAGCUCCUCAAAACAAAACAUGUGUUGAGCACCAUGCUUAAUUUUGAGUAUAGCUUGGCGGAUCAUAACUGCGAGAGAAAUCUUGAAGAACAAUUGAAGAAUGAAAAGAAUCCUUGAUGAACCACCAUUUAGAGCCUCCACGAAGAACUCCGGUAAUAGAAGGAUGAUAAAAAGAAAGAGAAGUUGAAAACACAAUGUGAAACCUUGCAGUGAUAAGAUGAAGCUUUGAAAUGAUAUAACCGAGAAAAAACUUGGAACCCGGAAAUAAAGAUGCACAACUGAAAUCAAGAAUUUUUGAUGGACCUCCGGAAUAAGGAAUUGAAUUUACUCGAUGAAACAAGAAUAAGAAUUACAUUAUGCUCAUCCUUCACCAAUUAAAUUGAUGACAAGCAAUGGAUUUGGCAUACUACUUAUUCUCGUAGAAAGGAUUAAGAGAGAUAUGGCGUAAACUUGGGAAGGUCUUCAACGAACCACCGGUAGGAUUUGGAAACAACGAAUGAAUAGAUGCGGUAGCAAAGGAAGAGGGAUCUCGAACGAACCACCAUAAGAAUUGAAAAUGAAAGUAACAAAGGCACAAUUCAUCGGGAAUAAUUGGAAAAUGAAUGAAGAUACUUGAGGGGGUUUAAAUACAUGAGAACGAAGAGAACAUGAACUGAUUAGAGGAUAUUUUAACGAUUCAUUGAUAAGAUUUGGAGAACGAUAGCUACACGUUGAGAAUGAAGAAUUAUGACAUGAUGGCCUUCGGAGGAAAGAAAUGGAAACAACUCAUGAAAUGCUCCAGAUGGUAAGAAAAUAAUUUUCACAAUCAAAACAAUUAUGAGGAUAGCAUGAAGCUAGAACCAUGAAUCUUCAAGAGAACGGACCAAGAUUUAAGAGAUAAACUCUCCUUCGGUCUUCAAAAGACGAUGAGGAACGCCACCAAAAUUUAUUGAGAUACUCCGGUAGAAUGGAAAAAACAAAGAAGUUGAGACCACAAAGAAAAAUUAUUUGAAAUCGAUCUUGGAAAGGCAUGUGACUGAUGAAAAUUCAUUCUUACGUCACACUCUGAAAAGAUUGAGAAUAACUCCGGAAGAAUUAGAAGAGUCAGGUAAGAUCCUGGGAAAAGACCUGUGGGUUAGGGCCCACUCAAAAGAAAACACCGUUGAACAAUUGAUUGAAAGAGGGGAUUGCACCGGUUGAAUUAAAUGACUUGAAUGAGAUAAGAACCUCGAAAUAUCUUGAAGGGAUUGAGAAUGGAAACACAAGUCUUCGGAGAUAUCUUGAGCACUUCAGGAAAAAAUGAAUAGCGAUAAGUGAGCGAUUGAGAGGUGCGCCGGCAUGGGAAAGCAUUUGAAACGAGGAAAGGAAUAUGAUGAAUAUUGAAAGCUUGAAUUGUUUCCACCGGAGAAGAAACAACAAUGAAGGAUGAUGAACUUGAAGCUCGUGAGCAUCUUCACGAGGGAUCACCGGAUCAGAACAUUGAUUGAAAAGAAUGAAGAGACUUCACAUGAAUAAAUGGAUACUUGAUUAAGAAAUCUGUGUCCUUGAAGAAAAAGGGUGGGAGGGCGGGAAAACAAAGGCAACUUGGGACGAACGAAACAAACACCGUUGAAAAAACUUAGAAUUGAUCUUGCGGAUGGGGAAAAUGAUGGGAUCAUCUCGAAGAGAAGCGCACCGGUUGGAAAAGAAUUAACAUGACAACCUCAAUGAUCAAAAAGGAUUAGUAUUCACAUAGCAAUAUGAGAACACCGUUUAGGAAAGGUAUGGAUUCAAUAUUUGACAUUGAAGCAACUCGAGUACCACAACUCAAAACAAAACAAAGGAUUUGGCUUGCAGAAUAAGCCGGAACAAACAUAUGAUAGAGAUUUACCCAAUCCCAUAUCAUGCAUCUGUCGGAAAGAUAUUCUAGGAGCUACUUGAAUUCCCACCUAUAAACUCCCGAAACUUUCUGGUUAUGCAAUCUGGUGUUGGGGAUACAGGGGAAGCAAUAUAUCUCACCCAAACUAACAAUACCUACAUCCAAGCUGUAUCCAUCCGUCAACACAUAACCAAGAAACCUUCGGAAAUCGUGUACCUCAACCUUCGAAAAGCAUCCGUUAUACGAGUCAUGGCAAUACUCCCGUACUCACCUCAGUACUGGGUUAGCGGGGUUAUCUCACCAACAACUGCAUAAAAGAGAUUUUCGAUGUCGGCGUACUAAACUCAGGUAUUCCAGAACUGCAACGAUAAAAUUAUGACGACAACACCUCAGAGCUCAACUCCCCGGGACACCUCCACUAAAAAAACCCUGCUGACGGGAGGCACCAAGACAAUGUUGUCAUCAUAAACCAUCGGAACGAUUCUAAGAUACCCGCGUGAUCCUAAAAUUUUUUUUAGUGAAAUUUGAGAAGAGAAGAGUCAAAACUCUACGUCAGGAGACCUCACCAGAGCGACGAAGGGACUGAGGAGUAAAAAGAAUUCCUAACUCUCCGAUAUAUAUAAUCCUAAAUGACUCAAAACAUUUUUCUAGACACAACUCGGCCGCUAAAAACGAUCAAGCAGUGGGGCUCCUAAGGUCGGGGAUGGCUCUGAUUACCAACUUAUAACGCCCUCGAUGCGGCUAUAUCUCCCACGUGUCGAAGCACGACUUAGAGGCAUAACCGCAUUGAAAGCAAUGUCGCAAGUGAGGUAAUCUUCACACAACCCAAGUAAUACAUAAGGGGAAAGAGAUACAUAGUUGGCUUACAAUCGUCACUUCACACAAUUACAUGAAUAAAGCAUUACAUCAUCCAGAUACAAUCAAGGUCCGACUACGGAACCCAAAAUAAAAGAAGAACCCCAAAUGCGACAAAGGUCCCCGAUCGACCCCAACUGGGCUCCACUACUGAUCAACUAGAACGAAACAACACAAAGGGCAAGAUCUUCAUCGAGCUCCUCCUUGAGCUUGGUUGCGUCACCUGCUCGGUAACAUAGGCACCUGCAAACUGGUUUGGAAGUAUCUGGUGAGCCACGAGGACUCAGCAAUCUCGCACCCGCGAGAUCAAGACUAUUUAAGCUUAUGGGUAAGGUAAAGGCAUGAGGUGGAGCUGCAGCAAGCGACUAGCAUAUAUGGUGGCUAACAUACGCAAAUGAGAGCGAGAAGAGAAGGCAAAGCACGGUCGAUAAAGGUAUGAUCAAGAAGUGAUCCUAUAGCAACCUAUGUCAAGCAUAACUCCAACACCGUGUUCACUUCCCGGACUCCGCCGGAAAGAGACCAUCACGGUUACACACACGGUUGAUGUAUUUAAUUCGGAUCUGGUGUCAAGUUAUCUACAAUCGGACAUUAACAAAUUCCCAUCUGCCACAUAACCGCGGGCACGGCUCUCGAAAGUUUAUACCCUGCAGGAGUGUCCCAACUUAGCCCAUGACAAGCUCUCGCGAUCAUCGAAGGAAUAGACCUUCACCCGAACACUCCGAUCAGACUCGGUAUCCCGGUACAUCAAGACAUUUCGACAAUGGUAAAACAAGACCAGCAAGACCUCCCGGCGUGCCGACAUCCUGAUAGUAGCCGCGCGUAUCUCGUCUCAGGCCACGACCGGAUGAACACUACGUACGGCAACCGACGAUACCCCAAGUUGCCUAGGGGCGGCACCGCAAGUGGCUCUGGUUUGGACCAACACUUAGACAAGCAUUGGCCCGGGGGGGCUAAAAUAAAGAUGACCCUUGGGUUAAUUACUCCCAAGGGAAAAGUAGGUGGUGGUGAGGCAAAUGGUAAAAGUCAAUGUUGGGCCUUGCUGGACAAGUUUUAUUCAAAGCGAACUGUCAGGGGGGUCCCAUAAAUCACCCAACCGCGUAAGGAACGCAAAAUCCGGGAACAUAACACCGAUAUGACGGAA
rnacentral:lncRNA from 1 species